rnacentral:rRNA from 1 species
CCUACGGGCGGCAGCAGUGGGGGAUAUUGCACAAUGGAGGAAACUCUGAUGCAGCAAUGCCGCGUGAGGGAAGACGGUCUUCGGAUUGUAAACCUCUGUCCUUGGUGAAGAUAAUGACGGUAGCCAGGGAGGAAGCUCCGGCUAACUACGUGCCAGCAGCCGCGGUAAUACGUAGGGAGCAAGCGUUGUCCGGAUUUACUGGGUGUAAAGGGUGCGUAGGCGGCUUUUUAAGUCGGGCGUGAAAGCUGUGGGCUUAACCCACAAAUUGCGUUCGAAACUGGAGGGCUUGAGUGAAGUAGAGGUAGGCGGAAUUCCCGGUGUAGCGGUGAAAUGCGUAGAGAUCGGGAGGAACACCAGUGGCGAAGGCGGCCUACUGGGCUUUAACUGACGCUGAGGCACGAAAGCAUGGGUAGCAAACAGGAUUAGAUACCCUAGUAGUC